CUAGCACUUUCACAGAUCCUGCCCCAGCAGUGGGGACAGGAUUUGGUAGCUGGGGCUGAGAGAAAACCCUUGAUUGCGUCCUUGCCCCUGGUACUGUAGCAGUAGCAGGUGUUACUCAUUGGAACAGAG
ensembl:snoRNA SNORA30 small nucleolar RNA, H/ACA box 30